rnacentral:rRNA from 1 species
GUGGGGAAUCUUGCGCAAUGCGCGAAAGCGUGACGCAGCAACGCCGCGUGGGGGAAGACGGCCUUCGGGUUGUAAACCCCUUUCAGGAGGGACGAAGGUUCACCGGUGAAUAGCCGUGUGGAUUGACGGUACCUCCAGAAGAAGCUCCGGCUAACUACGUGCCAGCAGCCGCGGUAAUACGUAGGGAGCAAGCGUUGUCCGGAAUCAUUGGGCGUAAAGCGCGCGUAGGCGGCCCUGUAAGUCCGUUGUGAAAGUCAAAGGCUCAACCUUUGAAAGCCGAUGGAUACUGCAGGGCUAGAGUCCGGAAGAGGCGAGUGGAAUUCCUGGUGUAGCGGUGGAAUGCGCAGAUAUCAGGAGGAACACCAAUAGCGAAGGCAGCUCGCUGGGACGGUACUGACGCUAAGGCGCGAAAGCGUGGGGAGCGAACAGGAUUAGAAACCCCAGUAGUCC